AUUGAACGCUGGCGGCAUGCCUUACACAUGCAAGUCGAACGGCAGCAUGAUCUAGCUUGCUAGAUUGAUGGCGAGUGGCGAACGGGUGAGUAAUACAUCGGAACGUGCCCUGUAGUGGGGGAUAACUAGUCGAAAGAUUAGCUAAUACCGCAUACGACCUGAGGGUGAAAGUGGGGGACCGCAAGGCCUCAUGCUAUAGGAGCGGCCGAUGUCUGAUUAGCUAGUUGGUGAGGUAAAGGCUCACCAAGGCGACGAUCAGUAGCUGGUCUGAGAGGACGAUCAGCCACACUGGGACUGAGACACGGCCCAGACUCCUACGGGAGGCAGCAGUGGGGAAUUUUGGACAAUGGGGGCAACCCUGAUCCGGCAAUGCCGCGUGUGUGAAGAAGGCCUUCGGGUUGUAAAGCACUUUUGUCCGGAAAGAAAUCGCACUUACUAAUAUUAGGUGUGGAUGACGGUACCGGAAGAAUAAGGACCGGCUAACUACGUGCCAGCCGCCGCGGUAAAAC
rnacentral:rRNA from 1 species